AUUGAACGCUGGCGGCAGGCCUAACACAUGCAAGUCGAGCGAGAGGCGGACGGGUGAGUAAUGUCUGGGAAAAUGCCUGAUGGAGGGGGAUAACUACUGGAAACGGUAGCUAAUACCGCAUACCAUCAGAUGUGCCCAGAUGGGAUUAGCUAGUAGGUGGGGUAACGGCUAAACUAGGCGACGAUCCCUAGCGGUUCUGAGAGGAUGAACAGACACACUGGAACUGAGCCACGGUACAGACUCCGACGGGAGGGAGCAGUGGGGAAUAUUGCAUAAGGGGCGCAAGCCUGAUGCAGCCAUGCCGCGUGUAUGAAUAAGGCCUUCGGGGUGUAAAGUACUUUCAGCGGUGAGGCGUUACCCGCAGAAGAAGCACCGGCUAACUCCGUGCCAGCAGCCGCGGUAAUUC
rnacentral:rRNA from 1 species